rnacentral:rRNA from 1 species
GAUUAUGGCUCAGGAUGAACGCUGGCGGCGUGCUUAACACAUGCAAGUCGAACGGAGUUACAUGAAACCUAGUGAUUGUAAACUUAGUGGCGGACGGGUGAGUAACGCGUGGGUAACCUGCCUUAUCCAGGGGGAUAACAGUGAGAAAUUACUGCUAAUACCGCAUAAGCGCACAGAAUCGCAUGAUUCAGUGUGAAAAGAUUUAUCGGGAUAAGAUGGACCCGCGUCUGAUUAGCUAGUUGGUGAGGUAACGGCCCACCAAGGCGACGAUCAGUAGCCGGCCUGAGAGGGUGAACGGCCACAUUGGGACUGAGACACGGCCCAAACUCCUACGGGAGGCAGCAGUGGGGAAUAUUGCACAAUGGGGGAAACCCUGAUGCAAGCGACGCCGCGUGAGUGAUGAAGUAUUUCGGUAUGUAAAGCUCUAUCAGCAGGGAAGAAAAUGACGGUACCUGACUAAGAAGCCCCGGCUAACUACGUGCCAGCAGCCGC